rnacentral:rRNA from 1 species
GACGAACGCUGGCGGCGUGCCUAAUACAUGCAAGUCGAGCGGAACUGGGGGAGCUUGCUCCUUCCAGUUUAGCGGCGGACGGGUGAGUAACACGUGGGCAACCUGCCCUGCAGAUCGGGAUAACUCCGGGAAACCGGUGCUAAUACCGAAUAGUUUGGCGCCUCUCCUGAGGCGCUACGGAAAGACGGUUUCGGCUGUCACUGCAGGAUGGGCCCGCGGCGCAUUAGCUAGUUGGUGGGGUAACGGCCCACCAAGGCGACGAUGCGUAGCCGACCUGAGAGGGUGACCUGCCACACUGGGACUGAGACACGGCCCAGGCUCCUACGGGAGGCAGCAGUAGGGAAUCUUCCGCAAUGGACGCAAGUCUGACGGAGCAACGCCGCGUGAGUGACGAAGGUUUUCGGAUCGUAAAACUCUGUUGUGAGGGAAGAACACGUACCAACUAACUAUUGGUACCUUGACGGUACCUCGCCAGAAAGCCACGGCUAACUACGUGCCAGCAGCCGCCGUAA